GUCUAUACCCACACCACCCUGAACACUCCCGACCUGGUCUGACUUGGGAAGAUAAGCAGGGUUGGGCGUGGUUAGUAGUUCGUUCUUGGAUUGGAUA
rnacentral:rRNA from 1 species